AUGAACGCUAGCGGCAGGCCUAAUACAUGCAAGUCGAGGGGUAAGAGUCAGCUUGCUGACUACACGACCGGCGCACGGGUGCGUAACGCGUAUGCAACCUACCUUUAACAGAGGAAUAGCCCCGAGAAAUCGGGAUUAAUACCACAUAACAUUAUGAUAUGGCAUCAUAUUAUAAUUAAAACUCCGGUGGUUAAAGAUGGGCAUGCGUGACAUUAGCUAGUUGGUGAGGUAACUGCUCACCAAGGCUACGAUGUCUAGGGGUUCUGAGAGGAUGAUCCCCCACACUGGUACUGAGACACGGACCAGACUCCUACGGGAGGCAGCAGUGGGGAAUAUUGGACAAUGGGCGCAAGCCUGAUCCAGCAAUACCGCGUGUGUGAAGAAGGCCUGAGGGUUGUAAAGCACUUUCAAUUGUGAAGAAAAGUUAAAGGUUAAUAACCUUUAGCCUUGACGUUAACUUUAGAAGAAGCACCGGCUAACUCCGUGCCAGCAGCCGCGGUAAUACGGAGGGUGCAAGCGUUAAUCGGAAUUACUGGGCGUAAAGCGUGCGUAGGUGGUUUGUUAAGUUAGAUGUGAAAGCCCUGGGCUCAACCUAGGAACUGCAUUUAAAACUGGCAAACUAGAGUAUAGGAGAGGAAAGUGGAAUUUCAGGUGUAGCGGUGAAAUGCGUAGAUAUCUGAAGGAACAUCAAUGGCGAAGGCAGCUUUCUGGACUAAUACUGACACUGAGGUACGAAAGCGUGGGUAGCAAACAGGAUUAGAUACCCUGGUAGUCCACGCCGUAAACGAUGACAACUAGCCGUUGGGAGGGUUUACCUCUUAGUGGCGAAGCUAACGCGUUAAGUUGUCCGCCUGGGGAGUACGGCCGCAAGGUUAAAACUCAAAGGAAUUGACGGGGACCCGCACAAGCGGUGGAGCAUGUGGUUUAAUUCGAUGCAACGCGAAGAACCUUACCUGGUCUUGACAUACACGGAACUUUCCAGAGAUGGAUUGGUGCCUUCGGGAACCGUGAUACAGGUGCUGCAUGGCUGUCGUCAGCUCGUGUCGUGAGAUGUUGGGUUAAGUCCCGUAACGAGCGCAACCCCUAUCCUUAUUUGCCAGCACAUCAUGGUGGGAACUAUAAGGAGACUGCCGGUGAUAAACCGGAGGAAGGCGGGGACGACGUCAAGUCAUCAUGGCCCUUACGACCAGGGCUACACACGUGCUACAAUGGGAAGGACAAAGGGUUGCUAAGCCGCGAGGUAGUGCUAAUCUCAUAAACCUUUUCGUAGUCCGGAUCGGAGUCUGCAACUCGACUCCGUGAAGUCGGAAUCGCUAGUAAUCGUGGAUCAGAAUGCCACGGUGAAUACGUUCCCGGGUCUUGUACUCACCGCCCG
rnacentral:rRNA from 1 species